rnacentral:rRNA from 1 species
GUUGACCUCGGAUCAGGUAGGAAUACCCGCUGAACUUAAGCAUAUCAAUAAGCGGAGGAAAAGAAACCAACAGGGAUUGCCCCAGUAACGGCGAGUGAAGCGGCAACAGCUCAAAUUUGAAAUCUGGCCUCGGCCCGAGUUGUAAUUUGCAGAGGAUGUUUCUGGCGCGGUGCCUUCUGAGUUCCCUGGAACGGGACGCCAUAGAGGGUGAGAGCCCCGUACGGUUGGACGCCUAGCCUGUGUGAAACUCCUUCGACGAGUCGAGUAGUUUGGGAAUGCUGCUCAAAAUGGGAGGUAUAUCUCUUCUAAAGCUAAAUACCGGCCAGAGACCGAUAGCGCACAAGUAGAGUGAUCGAAAGAUGAAAAGCACCUUGAAAAGGGGGUUAAACAGCACGUGAAAUUGUUGAAAGGGAAGCGCCCAUGACCAGACUUGUGCCCGGCGGAUCACCCAGCGUUCUCGCUGGGGCACUCCGCCGGGUCCAGGCCAGCAUCGGUUUUCGCCGGGGGAUAAAGGCUCUGGGAACGUAGCUCCUCCGGGAGUGUUAUAGCCCUCUGCGUAAUACCCUGGCGGGGACCGAGGUACGCGCUCCGCAAGGAUGCUGGCGUAACGGUCAUCAGCGACCCGUCUUGAAACACGGA